UUCCGUUCAGUCUUCCUUUGCCCUGUGUUUGCAGUCAUCGUGUGAGGGGCUGGCCAUGUUCAGCCCAGGCAACCCACAGCCAGAGAGGGCAGAGCGGGGAGAUGGGCCCUGGUGAGCACUGAGGCUCUUCAAACCAGCUGCCAAGGGAGUUGCAAGCUGGGUGACACAUGAGGCUCAUUAUUUAGUGGUAUUUUAUGUUCUUACUUGUCCCCAGUUUGUGUAGCUCACAGACUUUUUUUUUUUUUUUAACAUUUCUAUAGGGGUCAUUUGAAGUUCAUAACGCCAUCAAAUAUCAGUACAGGGUCUUCCCAUUAUUUACCGGCUUUGGGAUAUGUGCUGAGGAGUGGCCGCGCACUGAAGGAAUGUGACCGGUUGUCCCAAGUGUUGUCCUCCAACUCAAAAUCCGCAACCAGUUCAAAAGCAUUUGGGCUUUUAUGUGCCUUUCACAUAAAGACUAUGACACAGCUAAGCUAUUCAUGUACUAAUACCUGCCCUGAGCUGUGUGACCACAGACACCACCCUAUAAUGUGCCCAGUGUGUAGGAACUCUACAGGCUCAGAUCAUUCCACACAUACAUGCAGAUGUUGGAACUCCCUUGCACAGUGACUCAUGAUCCCAAGGCUGAGUGCUGAGGGCAGGUCAGUAGUUCAGAGCCUCAGCAUUGGGGCUGUAUGCUUGGGUUCCCAUCUUGGCUCUUUUGCUGAGGGGCUCAUAAGCUUGGGCACAUUCAUCUCUGUCUUUUUCUGCCCAGCGAAAGGUGAUAGUAAAUCAAUCAUGCCAUUUGUCUGUGGUGAUGGCCGAAUGAUUUGAUGUAGGUAAAGUGUACAGUAUAAGUGCUCAUGAGGCUUAAUUAUCAGUGAAAUGUCUUGCUUUAGAUUUCACAGCUUAAUAAGGCUCAGAGGCUUAUUCACGCCCAGGAUUCUGACCUCCCAAGUCAUUGUUCUAUGACAUACACCUGCUUGGCCUAAAACCGACCACUUUAUCAUAAUGCAGACCCAGUUUUGAAAGAAGCAGAUAAAGUUGUCAAAAGUACUGUGUCUGCCUCAGCGCACACUCAGUGCGCUCCACACAAAGGGCAUCACCAUCUGCCACAAUGGCCCAGUGGCCUGGCUGGCACAGACAGUGGCAGAGCAAAGGGCAACAGAUCCCUAAUCCAAUCACCAUGGUCGAUAGGGCAUCAUAGACAUUCCAGGGUGAAGGCACAAUCCACAUUGUGAGGUCCAACUGCUGCCAUGCAGACAGGUGUGCCUUUACAUGUACAGGAAGGUCAUUGAAGGCUCAGUGUUUUGUUUCAAAAACUGAAUCCCAAGA
rnacentral:lncRNA from 10 species